UGAGUGCUAGGUGUGAGGGGUUUCAAUACCCUUCGUGCCGCAGUUAACACAAUAAGCACUCCGCCUGGGGAGUACGGUCGCAAGACUGAAACUCAAAGGAAUUGACGGGGGCCCGCACAAGCGGUGGAGCAUGUGGUUUAAUUCGAAGCAACGCGAAGAACCUUACCAGGGCUUGACAUCCCUCUGACGGCUCUAGAGAUAGGGCGUCCCUUCGGGGCAGAGGAGACAGGUGGUGCAUGGCUGUCGUCAG
rnacentral:rRNA from 1 species